rnacentral:rRNA from 1 species
ACAUACGACCAUACCCACUGGAAAACUCGGGAUCCCGUCCGCUCUCCCAUAGAUAAGCCAGUGAGGGACGGAGUAGUAGUCGGGUCGGUGACGACCGGCGAAUGCCUGUUGUUGUAUGUU